rnacentral:lncRNA from 1 species
AGUGAAGUAUGUGUUGAGUUUUCUCAAUAUAUUUAAGUAUUUUUUAGUAUUAUGUCAUGAUAUUAUCGAUAAUUUCGAUAAUAUCGUGAUAUUAUCGAUAAUAUCGCGAUAUUUUGACGAAAAUCAUAUGGAUAGUUAAAAAAAUUUCGGACCACUAAAAAAACAAUAAUAUCGGCGAUAUUUCGCCGAUAUUAUCGAUAUUUUCUUCCUUGGUUACAACGCACUACUAAUAGAAAAC